AACGAACGCUGGCGGCGUGCCUAACACAUGCAAGUCGCGCGAGAAAGUGGGGGCAACCCCACGAGUAAAGCGGCGCACGGGUGAGUAAUACGUAGGUAACCUACCUUCGAGACCGGGAUAACCUUCCGAAAGGAGGACUAAUACCGGAUAAGACCACGGAGCUUCGGCUCUGGGGUUAAAGGUGGCCUCUGCUCGCAAGCUACCGCUAGAAGAUGGGCCUGCGCACCAUUAGCUAGUUGGUGAGGUAACGGCUCACCAAGGCGAAGAUGGUUAGCUGAUCGGAGAGGAUGAUCAGCAACACUGGGACUGAGACACGGCCCAGACUCCUACGGGAGGUAGCAGUGGGGAAACUUGGACAAUGGGGGAAACCCUGGUCCAGCGACGCCGCGUGGGUGAUGAAGGCCUUCGGGUCGUAAAGCCCUGUCGGGGGGGAAGAAACUCCCGCCGGUGAACAAUCGGCGGGAUUGACGGUACCCCCUAAGGAAGCACCGGCUAACUCCGUGCCAGCAGCCGCGGUAACAC
rnacentral:rRNA from 1 species